UUACGACUACAUAUCAGGCAUAUCAAUAAGCGGAGGAAAAGAAACUAACUAGGAUUCCCUUAGUAACGGCGAGUGAAGCGGGAAGAGCUCAAAUUUGAAAUCUUCAAGGUUUUACCUUGACGAAUUGUAGUUUAAAGAAGUGUUUUCUGUUGAAGUUUCGGUAAAAGUUCUUUGGAAUAGGACAUCAUAGAGGGUGAGAAUCCCGUAUUUGACCGUUAUUUUCAGCUGUGUGAUACACUUUCAAAGAGUCGGAUUGUUUGGGAAUGCAGUCCAAAAUGGGUGGUAAAUUUCAUCUAAAGCUAAAUAUUGGCGAGAGACCGAUAGCGAACAAGUACCGUGAGGGAAAGGUGAAAAGAACUUUGAAAAGAGAGUUAAACAGUACGUGAAAUUGUCAAAAGGGAAGCGUUUGACGCCAGUGUUGUUUUCUCGAAAAUCAAUUAAAAAUAAAUUUGAUUUUGUGUUGUAUUGACUUUAAAAGCUUUCUUCACUUUUUUCAUGUUUAUUUUUAAUGCACUUUUCGUUUAACAAGUCAGCAUCAGUUUCCUUUUGUUGUAAAAGAGUCAUUGGAAGGUGGCUUUCCUUUCGGAUGAAAGUGUUUAUAGCCUUUGACUUCUGCAAUCGGAGAGAUUGAGGUCUGCAGCGUAGAUCCUUCGGGGUUAGAUACAUUUGUGCUAAGUUAUAGCCUUUCAUAGACAACUUGUUGACUAUGAUCAGUCAUGUAGCUUACUCGCUUAUGUCUAUUUUACCUACGCUUAGGAUGUUGACGCGCGUGUGUGCGUG
rnacentral:rRNA from 1 species